rnacentral:rRNA from 1 species
UAGGGAAUCUUCGGCAAUGGACGAAAGUCUGACCGAGCAACGCCGCGUGAGUGAAGAAGGUUUUCGGAUCGUAAAACUCUGUUGUUAGAGAAGAACAAGGACGUUAGUAACUGAACGUCCCCUGACGGUAUCUAACCAGAAAGCCACGGCUAACUACGUGCCAGCAGCCGCGGUAAUACGUAGGUGGCAAGCGUUGUCCGGAUUUAUUGGGCGUAAAGCGAGCGCAGGCGGUUUCUUAAGUCUGAUGUGAAAGCCCCCGGCUCAACCGGGGAGGGUCAUUAGAAACUGGGAGACUUGAGUGCAGAAGAGGAGAGUGGAAUUCCAUGUGUAGCGGUGAAAUGCGUAGAUAUAUGGAGGAACACCAGUGGCGAAGGCGGCUCUCUGGUCUGUAACUGACGCUGAGGCUCGAAAGCGUGGGGAGCGAACAGG